rnacentral:tRNA from 8 species
GUCCCCAUCGUCUAGCGGCCUAGGACACUGCCCUUUCACGGCAGCGGCACGGGUUCGAAUCCCGUUGGGGAUACCA